UACGUAGGGGGCCAGCGUUGUCCGGAAUCAUUGGGCGUAAAGCGCGCGUAGGCGGCCAGAUAAGUCCGGUGUGAAAGUCAGAGGCUCAACCUUUGAAUGCCGCUGGAAACUGUCUGGCUUGAGUCCGGAAGGGGCGAGUGGAAUUCCUGGUGUAGCGGUGAAAUGCGCAGAUAUCAGGAGGAACACCAAUGGCGAAGGCAGCUCGCUGGAACGGUACUGACGCUGAGGCGCGAAAGCGUGGGGAGCGAACAGG
rnacentral:rRNA from 1 species